rnacentral:lncRNA from 1 species
AUUCAGCGAACCUGAUCCAGAUUCUUCUGAUGAUUGGCUGCCAUCUGGAUCAACUGGGAGCAGCAGAAAGACAUGAAUGAGGUCAUGCAUCCAGCAGAGAACCCACUCCUGUUGACAGAGCUAAGAAAGGUUGUGCAUCCAGCAGAGGUUGUGGGCAAUACUCUGGCUGGUAUCAAACAGACAGGUAGCCAAAUGAGAUCCCCUUUACUGCAACCCCUGGACCUCGGAAUGCUACCGCAGAGCUGG